rnacentral:tRNA from 1 species
GGCGACCGCCGCGGCAGCGGCGGCGCUUGUCGCGCUGCCGAGCAGGCGGCGUUCGGCCCCUUGGGUCGCCU